GUAUAAUGUCAUUAUCAUGCUCUGCAGCCUGAAGCUAUAAAAGAGAUCAAAGGGAUCAGGAUUUAACCAUCAAAUUUUAGUUUAUCAAAUAAAAAUGGUGCAUAGAAGGAGCUUGUUCUUUGUUAUUUACACAAUCAUCUUGCUUGUGUUUCUCUCGUUCCCAUCUGAGAUGGUGAUAGCUACACGAGUCCAGGUCCCUAAAACCAAAGAGCAACUUAAAAAUUUUCUGGAAAGUAAAGUUGGUGCUGGUGGAAGUUCUUCCCCAGGAGGAGGUUCUGGUGCCCCGGGCCCUUGAUCCCGGGAGUAGUCUUCCCUAGCUGGUUCAUCAAAGGCUGUUUCUCUACAGAGGAUUAUGAUAUAUGUUUCUAUAUAUGAGACACAGCAUGAUCAGUGAUUACAAUAUAUUUAUUAUUGAUAUUAUAGUUAUAUGUAAUAAUAUUUGUUGAAUCGGUGAAAUAAUAAUAUAUUAUAUUUUCUUAAAUA